GAUGAACGCUGGCGGCGCGCCUAACACAUGCAAGUCGAACGGUUAAAGCACCUUUUAGGUGUGUAUAAAGUGGCGAACGGCUGAGUAACACGUGGGCAACCUGCCCUCCUCUUGGGGAUAGCCUCGGGAAACCGAGGAUAAUACCCGAUACUUCAAUGUGGCCGCAUGACGACAUUGAGAAAGCUUUUGCGGAGAAGGAUGGGCCCGCGGCCUGUUAGCUUGUUGGUGGGGUAGAGGCCUACCAAGGCAAUGAUGGGUAGCUGGGUUGAGAGACCGACCAGCCAGAUUGGGACUGAGACACGGCCCAGACUCCUACGGGAGGCAGCAGUGGGGAAUCGUGCACAAUGGGCGAAAGCCUGAUGCAGCGACGCCGCGUGCGGGACGAAGGCCUUCGGGUUGUAAACCGCUUUCAGCAGGGACGGGGCGAUAAGUGACGGUACCUGCAGAAGAAGCCCCGGCUAACUACGUG
rnacentral:rRNA from 1 species